rnacentral:rRNA from 1 species
GUGAACGCUGGCGGUAGGCCUAACACAUGCAAGUCGAACGGCAGCACAGUAAGAGCUUGCUCUUACGGGUGGCGAGUGGCGGACGGGUGAGGAAUACAUCGGAAUCUACUUUUUCGUGGGGGAUAACGUAGGGAAACUUACGCUAAUACCGCAUACGACCUACGGGUGAAAGCAGUGGAUCUUCGGACCUUGCGCGAUUGAAUGAGCCGAUGUCGGAUUAGCUAGUUGGCGGGGUAAAGGCCCACCAAGGCGACGAUCCGUAGCUGGUCUGAGAGGAUGAUCAGCCACACUGGAACUGAGACACGGUCCAGACUCCUACGGGAGGCAGCAGUGGGGAAUAUUGGACAAUGGGCGCAAGCCUGAUCCAGCCAUACCGCGUGGGUGAAGAAGGCCUUCGGGUUGUAAAGCCCUUUUGUUGGGAAAGAAAAGCAGCAGGUUAAUACCCCGCUGUUCUGACGGUACCCAAAGAAUAAGCACCGGCUAACUUCGU